rnacentral:tRNA from 1 species
CAGGGAGUAGUUUAAAUAGAACUUCAGCUUUGGGUGUUGAUAGUGAAGCUAUAGCU